AGAGUUUGAUCCUGGCUCAGGACGAACGUUGGCGGCGUGCUUAACACAUGCAAGUCGAACGAUUGAGAGGUGAGAGGUGAGAGGUUAGAAAUGAGAGUAAGGAGUAAGAAAGAAUUUGGCUUUAGCCAAAUUCUCACCAAAUUCUCACCUCCAACAUCUCACAUCUCACUUCUCAAGAGUGGCGGACGGGUGAGUAACGCGUGGAUAAUCUGCCUGUAAGACAGGGAUAACGCCGGGAAACCGGUGCUAAUACCGGAUAACCUCUUUGGAUCGCAUGAUAUGAAGAGAAAACAAUGCUAUCACUUACAGAUGAAUCCGCGUCCCAUUAGCCAGUUGGUGGGGUAAUGGCCUACCAAAGCGACGAUGGGUAGCCGGCCUGAGAGGGUGACCGGCCACACUGGAACUGAGAUACGGUCCAGACUCCUACGGGAGGCAGCAGUGGGGAAUCUUCCGCAAUGGACGAAAGUCUGACGGAGCAACGCCGCGUGUAUGAUGAAGGUCUUCGGAUUGUAAAGUACUGUCUUUGGGGAAGAACGAUAUGACGGUACCCAAGGAGGAAGCCCCGGCUAACUACGUGCCAGCAGCCGCGGUAAUACGGAGGGGGCAAGCGUUGUUCGGAAUUAUUGGGCGUAAAGCGCGUGUAGGCGGUCUGAUUAGUCUGAUGUGAAAGCCCUGGGCUCAACCCAGGAAGUGCAUUGGAUACUGUCAGACUUGAAUACGGGAGAGGGUAGUGGAAUUCCUAGUGUAGGAGUGAAAUCCGUAGAUAUUAGGAGGAACACCGGUGGCGAAGGCGGCUACCUGGACCGAUACUGACGCUGAGACGCGAAAGCGUGGGGAGCAAACAGGAUUAGAUACCCUGGUAGUCCACGCCGUAAACGAUGAGUACUAGGUGUCGGGGGUAUCGACCCCCUCUGUGCCGCAGCUAACGCAAUAAGUACUCCGCCUGGGGAGUACGGUCGCAAGACUGAAACUCAAAGGAAUUGACGGGGGCCCGCACAAGCGGUGGAGCAUGUGGUUUAAUUCGACGCAACGCGAAGAACCUUACCAAGGCUUGACAUCCUGUGACAGCUAUAGAAAUAUAGACUUCUUAGUUUACUAAGAAAAAGACAGGUGGUGCAUGGUUGUCGUCAGCUCGUGUCGUGAGAUGUUGGGUUAAGUCCCGCAACGAGCGCAACCCCUACUGUAUGUUACUAACAGGUUAUGGUGGGCACUCUAGAGGGACUGCCGGUGACAAACCGGAGGAAGGUGGGGAUGACGUCAAAUCAUCAUGCCCCUUAUGAUCUGGGCUACACACGUGCUACAAUGGCCGGUACAACGAGAAGCGAAACCGCGAGGUGAAGCAACAUCCGAGAAAGCUGGUCUCAGUUCGGAUUGCAGGCUGCAACUCGCCUGCAUGAAGUCGGAAUCGCUAGUAAUCGCAGGUCAGCAUACUGCGUUGAAUACGUUCCCGGGCCUUGUACACACCGC
rnacentral:rRNA from 1 species